rnacentral:rRNA from 1 species
AGAGUUUGAUCCUGGCUCAGGACGAACGCUGGCGGCGCGCUUAACACAUGCAAGUCGAGCGAGAACCGAGGCUUCGGCCUCGGGGACAGCGGCGAACGGGAGAGUAACACGUGGAUAACCUGCCCUCGGCACCGGGAUAGCCCGGGGAAACCCGGAUUAAUACCGGAUGGCCCUUCCGACUCUCGAGUCGGUCGGAAAAGGUAGCUUCGGCCUCCGGCCGAGGAUGGGUCCGCGGCGGAUUAGCUUGUUGGUGGGGUAAUGGCCCACCAAGGCUCCGAUCCGUAGCUGGUCUGAGAGGACGAUCAGCCACACUGGGACUGAGACACGGCCCAGACUCCUACGGGAGGCAGCAGUGGGGAAUCUUGCGCAAUGGGCGAAAGCCUGACGCAGCGACGCCGCGUGAGGGAAGAAGGCCUUCGGGUUGUAAACCUCUUUCAGCAGGGACGAAGCUACUCGGGUUAACAGCCCAGAGGGUGACGGUACCUGUAGAAGAAGCCCCGGCUAACUACGUGCCAGCAGCCGCGGUAAU